GCCCUUAGAGUUUGAUCAUGGCUCAGGACGAACGCUGGCGGCGUGCCUAACACAUGCAAGUCGAGCGAAGCAUACGGAUUAGCUUGCUAAACUGUAUGACUGAGCGGCGAACGGGUGAGUAACACGUGGGUGAUCUACCUGAAAGUCUGGGAUAACAGUUCGAAAGGGCUACUAAUACCGGAUAACAUUGGAGCUGUAGAGGCUUCAAUCAAAGCGUUACGGAGCGCUUUCAGAUGAGCCCGCGUCCCAUUAGUUAGUUGGUAGGGUAACGGCCUACCAAGGCGACGAUGGGUAGCCGGUCUGAGAGGAUGGUCGGCCACACUGGAACUGAGACACGGUCCAGACUCCUACGGGAGGCAGCAGUGGGGAAUUUUGCGCAAUGGGGGCAACCCUGACGCAGCGACGCCGCGUGAGCGAAGAAGGCCUUCGGGUUGUAAAGCUCUGUUGAGAGGGAAGAUAGUGACGGUACCUCUUAAGCAAGCCCCGGCUAACUACGUGCCAGCAGCCGCGGUAAGACGUAGGGGGCGAGCGUUGUCCGGAAUUACUGGGCGUAAAGGGCGUGUAGGCGGCC
rnacentral:rRNA from 1 species